rnacentral:rRNA from 1 species
AGUGAACGCUGGCGGUAGGCCUAACACAUGCAAGUCGAACGGCAGCACAGUAAGAGCUUGCUCUUACGGGUGGCGAGUGGCGGACGGGUGAGGAAUACAUCGGAAUCUACUUUUUCGUGGGGGAUAACGUAGGGAAACUUACGCUAAUACCGCAUACGACCUACGGGUGAAAGCAGGGGAUCUUCGGACCUUGCGCGAUUGAAUGAGCCGAUGUCGGAUUAGCUAGUUGGCGGGGUAAAGGCCCACCAAGGCGACGAUCCGUAGCUGGUCUGAGAGGAUGAUCAGCCACACUGGAACUGAGACACGGUCCAGACUCCUACGGGAGGCAGCAGUGGGGAAUAUUGGACAAUGGGCGCAAGCCUGAUCCAGCCAUACCGCGUGGGUGAAGAAGGCCUUCGGGUUGUAAAGCACUUUGUUGGGAAAGAAAAGCAGCAGGUUAAUACCCCGCUGUUCUGACGGUACCCAAAGAAUAAGCACCGGCUAACUUCGUG